GUCUUUGAGUCGUGUGUCGUCUC
rnacentral:snRNA from 1 species